rnacentral:rRNA from 1 species
UACGUAGGGUGCGAGCGUUGUCCGGAAUUAUUGGGCGUAACGAGCUUGUAGGCGGUUUGUCGCGUCUGCUGUGAAAACCCGGGGCUCAACCCCGGACUUGCAGUGGGUACGGGCAGACUAGAGUGUGGUAGGGGAGACUGGAAUUCCUGGUGUAGCGGUGAAAUGCGCAGAUAUCAGGAGGAACACCGAUGGCGAAGGCAGGUCUCUGGGCCACUACUGACGCUGAGAAGCGAAAGCAUGGGGAGCGAACAGG